rnacentral:rRNA from 1 species
CGACCUGAGCUCAGGCAAGACUACCCGCUGAACUUAAGCAUAUCAAAAACCGGAAGGAA